AUUUGCACAAGAUGCUCUGUGUUUGCCCAUUUGAAAUGGGAUCGAUCUAUCUGGAGGAUGCCUCCAUGUCUUGUACUAGGACAUUCUUCCUUGGCACAGCAAUAUGGCCCUCCCUAGGACUCUCCUUAUAGAUGAGCUGUGAUUCUACUAUUCAGAGAGGUUGGCCGGCUGCCUCCAAGCAAGGGAUACAAGAUGUACAGCUGCAUAGGUCAUCAAAGAGCUGGAAGCCAAGCACCCUCCUCCAUGUUCUUUCUACUGUACCACGUGGCUUGUGUCGAUACAGACCCUUGGGCUGGACCAAUCCUGGAAGAUCAAGAGCUGACUGGAAGUUCCUGAACACUCCCAGGAAGCCUGCCCUUGCAAGAUAUCGCCCUUCAUUCCUUAACUCAGAUGCUCCACUGGGAUUCUGAGAAGCUUCAAUUCACUGAUAUACAUCGGUGGGAGCUGCUGAGCCAUUUAAGCUUUGACUAUCUCUACUUGAAAGGCAUGAGAUAAAGUUUUCCACUGCUGGAGAGGAGAGCAUUUAAGUGACUUAGGCUCUCAACCAAUCACACUCCCCCAGCAACCCUGAGAGGGUCCUUGAAUGUUAAUUUCAUGAUUCAAAAUAAAUGGAUCAUCAACCUUUGGGAAAUUCAUUCAUCAAACAUACACUAAGUCCCUACUAUGCACCAGGCACUAGGGAGGAUAAAUGAAGCUGCAGGAAAUGCCAGAGGUUUCCUUUGCUUCUUUCACACAUCACAAAGCACAUCAUCAGCUCACAGAUGGGAGUGUGCUAGGCAAAUCCAAUGUCCCUAUUCUAUUUCCCCAAUAGGCAAAGCACUCUGUGCACCUAGGCAGAGUUAGUGGCCAGAGCAGCUCAGGAGCUCCAGGAACCACCCCCUUCCUGGGUCUGCUUCCUCCAUUUCCCUAAGGUAAAUCUUCUUUGGCACCCAAAGUCUGUGGUUCCAAGAAGCCACAGGUCAAAACAAGCACUAGUGUGCCAGGUCACCUCUGUUAUUCCCAGUGUCGGAGAACCAUGCUCCCGCAAAGAUCUUUAAUAUGGAACCCUCAGUGGCUUCUGCAGAACUUGGAAGUAGUAACUAUGAGGGCUCAAAUCAGCCACUCAGCCCAGACCAGACUUUGGCUUUGGGGAUGGUAUUGCAAUUAAUUAUGCAAUAUGGUUCUUUGCUGAUAAUCCCCUUGCUGCUGCUGGGAGGCAGAGGCAAAGCUGCUUCUUACUAGAGAGCUUUCUUUUUAAUUUAAAACUGGACUCUUAAAGGAGCAACUAACUCUUCUUGUAUGUACUGAACAUUUAGAAACUAACAUUGUAAAGGACAGCUUUUCAACACAAAGGUCGAGUAGUUUCAUCUUAUAGAAUCUUGGAAUAGCCUGUCUGGCUAGGUGUGGA
rnacentral:lncRNA from 1 species